UACGGAGGGGGCGAGCGUUAUUCGGAAUUAUUGGGCGUAAAGGGCGCGUAGGCGGCUUCAUAAGUCAAAGGUGAAAUCCCUCGGCUCAACUGAGGAACUGCCUUUGAAACUGUGGAGCUUGAGGCCGGGAGGGGGUAGCGGAAUUCCCAGUGUAGCGGUGAAAUGCGUAGAUAUUGGGAGGAACACCAGUGGCGAAGGCGGCUACCUGGACCGGUACUGACGCUGAUGCGCGAAAGCGUGGGGAGCAAACAGG
rnacentral:rRNA from 1 species